rnacentral:misc_RNA from 1 species
UGGUUCUGGCAUCGAUGAAGAACGCAGCGAAAUGCGAUAAGUAAUGUGAAUUGCAGAAUUCAGUGAAUCAUCGAAUCUUUGAACGCACAUUGCGCCCUGUGGUAUUCCGUAGGGCAUGCCUGUUCGAGCGUCAUUAUAACCACUCAAGCCUCGCUUGGUAUUGGGAUUCGCAGCUCUGCGGCCCCUAAAAUUAGUGGCGGUGCCUGUAGGCUCUGAGCGUAGUAAUUCUUCUCGCUAUAGAGUCCUGUGGGUUUCCUGCCAAAACCCCCAUACUUUUAUCGGUUGACCUCGGAUCAGGUAGGGAUACCCGCUGA